CAGUCGCGCGUUAUUUUCCGACUUUUCUACAUUGAUUUGAACUCGUGUGAGAAUAAUUCAAACAUGUAAUACUUCGCAUGUACGAUUAUCGAUCACUGGAAUCAACGUGAGCAUGUGCGAGCAUCCCGAAAUUUCAAGGAUCCGGCGGAGUUUGCGAUCGCAUCGAAGCCAGCCGUAGUUCCCAUGGAUGCGGGGAGAUGCAGUAUCGGAGAAUACGUGCCAAGCAGGGUCGGCUCGAAGAAUGGAAAGCGGAACGUGACCGGCUCUGACUUCGAAGCGGAUCGGUGAGAAAAAUGGGUUUGAAAACUGCAAGGUGAUGGGAUUCAAGGUGACGGGUGUUGGAAAAUAGUUCUUUUUCUAAUACAUUUUAUUCUAUUUUAAUUCUUCAUUAUGUAAAACGUAAAUAUUUUUGUACUUAUAUAAUAUAAAUAGAUUAUGCUAAAUAAGAAAAGCAAUAUGAAAUUGACCAAAAUGCAAUAUGACAGAAUAAUCAUCUUUAAAAGAUUUUGU